rnacentral:misc_RNA from 1 species
UGAGGCCUUUCCAUUAGUUCUU